UAAUUUUCUUUCAUUCUUUAUGAAAUGAAUUAUGACACUUCCACAGUGCAAUUUUUCAAAACAAAAUAUGACAUUUAAGACAAAAAUGUUCAUAGGAAAUGCAGCGUAUCCUCUAAAAAAGUGUAACAAUUAUUGAUUGUUUGUAUAGUUUGUAUAGUUCCUUGAACUUCGUGGUUCUCCUCUGGCAGGUGAUAUGGAUUUUUAGCGGAUACUGCGCUCGGU